rnacentral:rRNA from 1 species
GACGAACGCUGGCGGCGUGCUUAACACAUGCAAGUCGAACGGUGAACGAGGGAGCUUGCUCCCUCCGGAUCAGUGGCGAACGGGUGAGUAACACGUGAGCAAUCUGCCCCGAACUCUGGGAUAAGCGUUGGAAACGACGUCUAAUACCGGAUACGACGCGGGAGGGCAUCCUCUCCGCGUGGAAAGAACUUCGGUUCGGGAUGAGCUCGCGGCCUAUCAGCUUGUUAGUGGGGUAACGGCUCACCAAGGCGACGACGGGUAGCCGGCCUGAGAGGGUGACCGGCCACACUGGGACUGAGACACGGCCCAGACUCCUACGGGAGGCAGCAGUGGGGAAUAUUGCACAAUGGGCGCAAGCCUGAUGCAGCAACGCCGCGUGAGGGACGACGGCCUUCGGGUUGUAAACCUCUUUUAGCAGGGAAGAAGCGAAAGUGACGGUACCUGCAGAAAAAGCACCGGCUAACUACGUG